UUGCCCUAGUAACGGCGAGUGAAGCGGCAACAGCUCAAAUUUGAAAUCUGGCUCUUUCAGAGUCCGAGUUGUAAUUUGCAGAGGGCGCUUUGGCUUUGGCAGCGGUCCAAGUUCCUUGGAACAGGACGUCACAGAGGGUGAGAAUCCCGUACGUGGUCGCUAGCUAUUGCCGUGUAAAGCCCCUUCGACGAGUCGAGUUGUUUGGGAAUGCAGCUCUAAAUGGGAGGUAAAUUUCUUCUAAAGCUAAAUAUUGGCCAGAGACCGAUAGCGCACAAGUAGAGUGAUCGAAAGAUGAAAAGCACUUUGGAAAGAGAGUCAAACAGCACGUGAAAUUGUUGAAAGGGAAGCGCUUGCAGCCAGACUUGCUUGCAGUUGCUCAUCCGGGCUUUUGCCCGGUGCACUCUUCUGUAGGCAGGCCAGCAUCAGUUUGGGCGGUGGGAUAAAGGUCUCUGUCACGUACCUCUCUUCGGGGAGGCCUUAUAGGGGAGACGACAUACCACCAGCCUAGACUGAGGUCCGCGCAUCUGCUAGGAUGCUGGCGUAAUGGCUGUAAGCGGCCCGUCUUGAAACACGGACCAAGGAGUCUAACAUCUAUGCGAGUGUUUGGGUGUCAAGCCCGAGCGCGUAAUGAAAGUGAACGGAGGUGGGAACCCGCAAGGGUGCACCAUCGACCGAUCCUGAAGUUUACGGAAGGAUUUGAGUAAGAGCAUGGCUGUUGGGACCCGAAAGAUGGUGAACUAUGCUUGAAUAGGGUGAAGCCAGAGGAAACUCUGGUGGAGGCUCGCAGCGGUUCUGACGUGCAAAUCGAUCGUCAAAUUUGGGCAUAGGGGCGAAAGACUAAUC
rnacentral:rRNA from 1 species